rnacentral:misc_RNA from 1 species
GAUGAAGAACGUAGCGAAAUGCGAUAAGUAAUGUGAAUUGCAGAAUUCCGUGAAUCAUCGAAUCUUUGAACGCAUAUUGCGCCCACGGCCUCGGCCAAGGGCAUGCCUGUCUCAGCGUCCGCUCACCCCCUCGCCCUCCCCCUUUCGAUUCGAAAGGGCGGUUUGGACGGAUGUGGCCGUCUCGCUCUCUGUUUUGAAAGAAAGAAAGAGAGCGGGUCGGCUGAAGCGCAGGGCUCGCGGCGGGACCCCAUUCGAUCGGGGCGCCAGCAUGGUAGGUGGCUCAACGCUCACAUAUCGGCUGUCGUCUCCCACAUCACCGGGCGCUCCGCCUGCUGCCACAGCAGGAAAACCCCAAUCAAAACCUUGGACCUGAGAUCAGACAAGACCACCCGCUGAACUUAAGCAUAUCAAUAGCGGAGGA